UGGAACCUAAGAUAGAACAUUGCCACCUCCUAGAUUAUGUUGCCCCCAUCUUACAAGGCACUGCCACCAAAGUAGAACCAUAACUGAGGCUUCAGAAGAUCAUUCUACAGCUCAACUGAACCAGCCUUUUCAGGAUGAUGGGGAACGUAAUAGGACCAGUGAAAUCCAUGAGCACGUGCCCUGAGAAGUAACUUAUUUGUUUAUAAGUGAUGCUGUGUGGAAUCCAUGAUGUUGGUGCUCCGUGUUGGUCUCUGUUGCUGGUAGAUUCAGCAGUCAGCGGUGUGUAUAGAAAGAUCACUCUUGAAUGAUGUCAUCAAUCAAACGAAUAGUGUCAUGGCUGGUGUAAGGGAAAGAUGAGUAAAGUCUGCAAGGACUGGAAUACGACAUAAGCCCGGAGAGUUGAUGUAAGUCUGAAGUGGGAAGUCGACGUGCGUUGCUGCCCUUUCCAGCUUAAGGUAAACUCUUUGUGGUGAUAUUUAUUGAAGGAGGAAAAAGACGUUGACUCAAUCAAUACUGUAAAGCGGGCGCCUGGGGAUGUGUUGAUUGCUAAAACAACAAAAUCACAUGUAGAACAGGAGCUGCACUUGGAAUAAUCAUGUGGUCGGGAUUAUCAGAAUUGGCUGUCAUUCUCCAAGAUCUGUCUGUUUCUCUACAGGACAAAUAUGUAUGUUGAAAGGAAUGUCAUAAAAUCACCACCCUGCAUCUUUCAAAUUCUUGAUGGCGCCGCAAUUAUUCCAGUUCCUCCGGGGUGAAAUGUUGUUUUCAGUUUACUAUCUUUAUAGUCAGGACGCACAGGUCUUGAGAUCAAGGCGUGGAAACAGAAGUGCCUCUCUCACGACUUACCCCUAGAGGUGCACUGCCCAAUG
rnacentral:lncRNA from 1 species